GUGCUCACUUCAGCAGCACAUAUACUAAAGUUGGAACAAUACAGAGAAAAUUAGCAAGGCCCCUGAACAAGGAUGACAUGAAAACAAUCAUGAAGGGAAACUCAGACAC
ensembl:snRNA U6 U6 spliceosomal RNA